UACGUAGGGUGCGAGCGUUGUCCGGAAUUAUUGGGCGUAAAGAGCUCGUAGGCGGUGUGUCGCAUCGGCCGUGAAACCUGCAGCUUAACUGUGGGCUUGCGGUCGAUACGGGCAUCACUGGAGUUCGGCAGGGGAGACUGGAAUUCCUGGUGUAGCGGUGAAAUGCGCAGAUAUCAGGAGGAACACCGGUGGCGAAGGCGGGUCUCUGGGCCGAUACUGACGCUGAGGAGCGAAAGCGUGGGGAGCGAACAGG
rnacentral:rRNA from 1 species